AUCUCACCCCAAGUGUCUUAGGGUAUGUCUACACCACGAAAUUAAAUCGAUUUUAUAGACGUUGAUUUUUAGAAAUUGAUUUUAUACAGUUGAUUGUGUAUGUCCCCACUAAGCGCAUUAAGUCGGCGGAGUGCGU